GGGAGGAGUUUGGAGGGUUGAACAAGGAGAGUAUAGAAAAAUUGGGGGCUUUUUCUUUUCUUUUGGAUGGGAAAUUCUAGGGUCCAAAAUUAAGGUUUCAAAAAGAGGGAAAUCUUCUGAGGGAGGUUCUGAUUCGAAAACAGAGAAAGGAAUUUUUUUUUUGGAGUUUCUAAAUGUAGGUUGAAAAUAUUUAGUUGAAAACCUGGGCGGGGGGGAGGGGGGGGUUUCAAAAUCCUUAAGAGGAAAAAGCAAAAAGACACUCACUUGGUGGUCGACGUCGCGAGAUUCCGGUAGUGACAAUUUUGCUGAUAGCUCAUCAUCCCGUAAGCUGCUCUUUGAAAGUUCGUCAUGAACUCUUGAUUACAUUUAUCUCGUCGAAUCAACUCUUUGAGAACAUUCAAAUCUCGAUCUCAUGGUAUACGAAUAUAGGGAGUCAGAAGAAGAAAGAAGAGGUUGAAAUCCUACAUUCGAAGCGGAUAAGAGACAAAAGUCUUGUCUGUUGUUUUAUUUGUUGUUGUCCUCGUUUAUUUUGUUUGUUUAUUAAUUCAUUCAUUCAUUUCGGCCUCGAAGCCAAAGUUGUAUUUAAUACAGGUGGAGCGAGAUUCGAGCCAACGACUCAUAAACUAGACUAGGACAGGUGAAAUGGGUCGAAAACCCAAUUAGACUAGGACAGGUAGGCCUAAAUCCCUUACUUUCUCCCCUUUCCAUUUUUCUUUACGCUUCUUUUCCUUAUGUGUUUGGCGAACCUAGUUAAAUCCUUAGUUAAGUCGCUAAAAAACUAGUUUUGCAUAAACACCAAAAUAUUUUCAAAAUCACUUUCUUUUCAAAAAUCAAUCACUUUUCGACAAAUUAAUCUUUUUCUGAAGUUAGUCAAAAGACGUUUUCAAUCAGUCCGGAUAAUCGCAAGCUAGCAGACGUUUUAGGUGCCUAACACCUUCCUAAAACGUUAAUAGAAAUCACUUACUUGGAAUCUCUAAAUUAAAAUGAUUUUCCUGUUUUGAAUCAUUUUGAAAUAACUCUUUAAAGGUUUCUUAAUUCCUUUUCAAAAUUAAAUGGCGAUUUUUUUCAAAAGUCAAAAUUUUCGCAAAACAGACAUCGCUAACAGCCUUUGUGAUGCUUGGAUUCCUAUCAGAAACAACACACAUGUUUUAUUUUUCCCCGUAUGCUUUCUUUAGAUUUUGAAAGAACCAUGUUCGUGAUGCAUCAUUUUCAGAAUCAAUUACACCAUAUGCCAGAGGGAAUAUAUGACCUGUAUAUACAAAAUAGUUAUGUGUUGUAAAAUAAAAAUACAUAUAGGAACUGUAUAUGUAUUUAUUAAAUAUACAGGUAAUUAAAAUUGUAUAUUUUAUCAAAUAAAUGGUAUCAAUUACAUAUAAUAAAAUUUAGACACACAUAACUAUAAAACAUAAUCAAUUUUACAUGUUUUCAUUCAUGAAACUUUGAAAAUAUAGGUAAUUUUAUACAGAUAUGUAUAUAUCUAGUGGAGAUAUGUAUUUUCAGGUGAUACGCAGAAAUUAUUAUAAAAUCAUACUAACCUGCUCCAUCCAUUGUACAUGCUGUUACAAAUGCCCCAAUAUACAUUCCUCUCAGAUGACUAGCAUCAACAACUACAACUGGUCUAUAAUGAUCAAAUCCUUUAAUGAAUGCAUUUUGAGCGAUAAAUACAUACAAGAACUCAUUCUCAUAUGUCUUCUUCAUUCUUAUAUGUGACUCUAGAUAGGUAGUAUUCUAUACAUAUAAGUAUGAUGAUAGUUUCCCAUAAGAUGCUGAUGGCUUACCCUUCAACUCUUCUAACGCUCUUUGUUUCGCCCUCCAGCAUAAAGUGUAUUUCAGAUCCAUACUAAAAUCUUUCUUCAUGUCAUUUUUAAUUUCUGUUGCACUGUAUUUUAUUUUGUGGUUCUUGAAUUUUUGUUUAACCAUACCACCUAUCAAUAUACUAGUAGCAUGCACCUUUGGAUAGAUCUUGUUCUUCACCGGGCAUGUAUGUUGAGGUCUGAAUGCUCUUAUUCUAAACAUUCCAGUUUCUCCCAUUCCUGAUGCAUGCAUUAAAAACUCGCAGUUUCUUGAUUUGCAAACCAACGUAUACCUGCAUACAACAUAAUUUAGUAUUUUCAAAAUACAUAUCUAAAUUAAUAUUAGAAAAGAACAGAGUGAUAUAGAAUGUACGUAGGUUUUCUUACUUGACCUUUUACUUCGCGUUUGAAACUUCUCCCUAAUUGAAUAGUCCUU